CCUACGGGAGGCAGCAGUGAGGAAUAUUGGUCAAUGGCCGGAAGGCUGAACCAGCCAAGCCGCGUGAAGGACGAAGGUGCCAAGCAUUGUAAACUUCUUUUGCCAAGGGACAAAAUCAGGCUCGAGAGCCUGACCGAGGGUACUUGAAGAAAAAGCAUCGGCUAACCACGUGCCAGCAGCCGCGGUAAUACGGAGGAUGCGAGCGUUAUCCGGAUUUAGUGGGUUUAAAGGGUGCGUGGGCGGGCUGUUAAGUCAGCGGUAAAAGCCCGGGGCUCAACCCCGACGAGCCGUUGAAACUGGCUGUCUUGAGAUGUCGAGAGGUAGGCGGAAGGCGAAGUGUAGCGGUGAAAUGCGUAGAGAUUGCGCAGAACUCCGAUUGCGAAGGCAGCAUACCGGCGGCGGUCUGACGCUGAGGCACGAAAGCGUGGGUAUCGAACAGGAUUAGAUACCCUUGUAGUC
rnacentral:rRNA from 1 species